AUUGAACGCUGGCGGCAUGCCUUACAUAUGCAAGUCGAACGGUAACAGGUCCUCGGAUGCUGACGAGUGGCGAACGGGUGAGUAAUACAUCGGAACGUGCCUAGUAGUGGGGGAUAACUACUCGAAAGAGUGGCUAAUACCGCAUGAGAUCUACGGAUGAAAGCAGGGGAUCGCAAGACCUUGUGCUACUAGAGCGGCCGAUGGCAGAUUAGGUAGUUGGUGGGAUAAAAGCUUACCAAGCCGACGAUCUGUAGCUGGUCUGAGAGGACGAUCAGCCACACUGGGACUGAGACACGGCCGAGACUCCGACGGGAGGCAGCAGUGGGGAAUUUUGGACAAUGGGCGCAAGCCUGAUCCAGCAAUGCCGCGUGCAGGAUGAAGGCCUUCGGGUUGUAAACUGCUUUUGUACGGAACGAAAAGCCCUGGGUUAAUACCCUGGGGUCAUGACGGUACCGUAAGAAUAAGCACCGGCUAACUACGUGCCAGCCGCCGCCGUAA
rnacentral:rRNA from 1 species